rnacentral:lncRNA from 1 species
UAAAUAAAAACAAAAAAGUCAUGAUUCGAAGACCGAAAAAUAUGUCCCUAUGAUUUUACGCCAAGUGGCAACAAAAGAGAUUACACGUUGAUUACUAAUGAUUAUCUGUUACUAAUGCCCCCAACUCACAUCUUAACAUAACUCAAUAUCUUAAAACUGUGGAAAUCUUAUUUUCUCCAAAAUUCAUAUAUUCACAUCAAACAUUAAGCUUAUUUCUAAUUUUGCUUCUUAUUUUAAAUUCUGAAAGAUGAAAAAUAUCCUAAUAAUAAAUUAGCAACUUUCUCAACAAAGCACUUCUUUGUAAAAGCAAACAUUCGAAAUCCAAUUUGAUGUCAUAAUAAGCACUGUUUCUGUGUUAUUAUUGUGAUGCUUUUGAAACUAUUGGAUUUAAAACUAUUCAAGAGCCUUCACCAAACAACUUAAACCUUUGGAAAAGGUGGUCUUUGACAGAAAAAAUAUUGAACAUUUGCAAGAUACUAUACAAAUGCAUAAACCUGCAAAACAAUCUUUAAUCUCUCUAAACAAAAACUUGAAUAUGGCAACAUGUUAACUUGCCUACUAACCCUCUUAAUGGUUAAUAUCUUAAAUUUAUAAAUCUUAGAUGCUCUCAACAUGAAUUAACAACAUCUGAUGUUUAUUAAAUUAUAACUAAUAUAAUAAUCAGUGAUUUAAAAACUAAAAUUACGCAUGCAUAUUACACUUGAGCACAGUUUUAUCAUACAAUUGCAAUGACUCGCUCUUUCGCCAACGCUAAGGUUCUUGAAUAAAAUAAAACAGACGUGGUUACGCGGCGGCAACAGAAAGUGCAAGCAAGGUGGGUUCAAUUAGUGGGAAGAUAACAACACCAAAAUCAGGGGAAGCAAAAAAUAUCCCCACGGAUUAUUUUAAUAAAUAACUUUGCUUGAUUAAAAAUUAUUUAAAUAAUUAGACUUUAUAAAAAAAAAUAAUUCAUUAAAAUAAUUCAAGCAAAAAAUCUAGAGUUAUAAACAUGGACAAUAAGUUUGUAAUUUGAAAAUCCAAAUUCCCAAAUUUCAAAC